rnacentral:tRNA from 1 species
GGCUCUGUAGCAUAAUUGGUUAAUGCCCCGGACUGUCGAUCCGGUGAGUGCCGGUUCGAAUCCGGUCAGAGUCG